rnacentral:lncRNA from 1 species
AAAAUCAAAUGGUAGCUCCCUAAGGUUUAGCACAAAUAAAUGUAUGUGUCAUUUAGUCUUCGACGGCAAGUUGUAUUUAUUGCAAUUAUAAAAGAUCUUUUUAUUUUAAUAUUUGUACUAGAGUUGAAUGAAAUGUUAUACUGUAACAGUGUCCGCCAGGUGAAGAGCCAGCCGACAAUUGUUUUUUUCUUCUUUACAAAAUACCUUUUCAGCUGAAUGCGCUCAUACAGAUAAUAGAAUUGUUUAAAUACUUUGACCGAUUUAAAAAUAAUCAUACAACGAAAUGGGAUGUGGGGUUAAUGCAAACAUCACAGAAACAAAGUGACACAAUAUGCUUUUUCUGGUAGCUUCAUGUGUGUAAUUGAACUGAAUUCAAUUUCUACCAGGGCCCGUAUCCAUAAAACCACUUAGGUUAAGAAAUCCAAUCGUAUUAGUACAAAUUUAUCGUUGGACAUGUAGAUGAAUCCGUCCAUUCGAAACAAAUCUUAACUUCAGUAGUUUUAUGCAUACGGGCCCAGACUGGUUUUCAUUGGCUGCCUAUAACAUUUUCUACAAAUUAUGUUGUUUUUAUAGUAGCUAGAUCAACGAGUUCAAAUUGUCAGUCUUUAAUCUCCCAUAUACAUAUAUAUAUUGUAUGUUCUUGUUUUACAUAAGGAUUUCAGAUAAUCUUUGUAUUAUUUUUUUUUAACUUCGUCGGAAAGACGCAUACUAAAACAAUGAAUAGCCAAGAACUUGGGGAUUAUACUAAAGAAACCCUAUAAAAGAUAUAUAAAUUAUAUUUCAUAACAGCAAAUCAACAUAAGAUCAACGUUGGCUGAGGUAGUUAGAACCUUAAUUUCUAAACAAGUUUUAAAUCUGUCAACGAAGAAUUUAAGAAAGUUUCAAAAUGCCAUAGCCAAGCAAUGAAGUUAUAUUCAUAUCAACUGCAAUGCACAUUUUCCCAUUACUAAUCAUAAUAUGAAAUGUUUUCAAUUCUAAGAAUUAGACAAAAUGCCAUAACCAAU